CAGGCCUAACACAUGCAAGUCGAGCGGUAGAGAGAAGCUUGCUUCUCUUGAGAGCGGCGGACGGGUGAGUAAUGCCUAGGAAUCUGCCUGGUAGUGGGGGAUAACGUUCGGAAACGGACGCUAAUACCGCAUACGUCUACGGGAGAAAGCAGGGGACUUCGGGCCUUGCGCUAAUAGAUGAGCCUAGGUCGGAUUAGCUAGUUGGUGAGGUAAUGGCUCACCAAGGCGACGAUCCGUAACUGGUCUGAGAGGAUGAUCAGUCACACUGGAACUGAGACACGGUCCAGACUCUACGGGAGGCAGCAGUGGGGAAUAUUGGACAAUGGGCGAAAGCCUGAUCCAGCCAUGCCGCGUGUGUGAAGAAGGUCUUCGGAUUGUAAAGCACUUUAAGUUGGGAGGAAGAGCAGUUACCUAAUACGUGAUUGUUUUGACGUUACCGACAGAAUAAGCACCGGCUAACUCUGUGCCAGCAGCCGCGGUAAU
rnacentral:rRNA from 1 species